GGGAGGGAGAAAGGACGUUUCGGACGGAUGAGAGACCCUGACUCCCGUCCCGACCGCCGCCCACAUGGCUCGUAUCGUGUAGCGAGGUGGUUGACGUGUUGACAGCUCUCCGCAGGAAGUGGGUUCACACUCAGGACUCUGCGGGGAGGAGGGGGAGGAAGCGUGAGUUGUGUUUAUUUUUAGUUGCCCCUGGGUCGACUAAUCUGUUAUGCCACGCCAGCUUAAUGGGAUUGAGCUGUCUCCAGUAGGCAUGGGACUGUAGGACCGACCGGAGGGCUGCUCGCUGGGUUCUCUGCUGCGCCUCACCGCACCAUGGCGUCAGGAUCUGAACCAAACCAGCCUCGUCUGGUACCAUACAAGCAGAGCACUGAGCCAGACAUGACUCGGACGUAGCCGAGCUGAGCCAUGGAUAAGAAACGACAGCGGGUCUCGGUGAGAUGAGCGAUGAAUCUGGACUGCCUGCAGUUGGGGGACUGGUGUUCGGCAGCACGGGGGAGUCCACGGCUGCACCACACGGAGGAGGGCCAGGGUGGAGGGUACCGGGACCAGGGCCGGUGGAGGGCAGCAGGGUGGAGGGUACCGGGACCAGGGCCGGUGGAGGGCAGCAGGGUGGAGGGUACCGGGACCAGGGCCGGUGGAGGGCAGCAGGGUGGCCGAGUAAAGCUGGACCCAGGCUGGAGGGGCCUCUCCUGGGAGGACCGUGGCUCAACCCAGAGGAAUUGAGAAGCACCGUGGUGGUGCUCUACACUCUCGCUGGAAACACCUGCUUCCUCCGACUGAGCUCAGGAAUGGAGGAGACUGUAUGGGAGCAGCACACUGUGAACCUACAAAGGGACUCAAAGAUGGGGUUCGGUAUCGCCGUGUCGGGGGGACGGGACAACCCCAACGUGGAUAACGGAGAGAUGUCAAUCAUCGUGUCAGACGUCCUACAGGGUGGACCAGCCGACGGUCUCCUGUUUGAGAAAGAUCGUGUGAUCCAGGUCAACUCCAUCCUCAUGGACAACGUGCCUCAUUCCUUCGCUGUGCAGCAGUUACGCAAAUGUGGGAAGACCGCCAAGAUAACGGUGAAGAGACCGCGGAAGGUGGCUCUCCACUCCCUGAAGCACCCCCCCUCUCCCGGCGGCCAAAGUCGAGACUUCGGCACCACCCGUUACUACGAUGCCGAUGACAACCAGAGUGACGGGGGCUGGCAACGUGGCAACGGUGGGACCGGUUACACCCACGAGCCUCGUGACCUCACCCCCGACAACAAGAACUACCUGGACCCCGACUACGGCAGCCGCGGUAAUCGGGGGAGGAGUCGGGGGAGGAGCCAGGAGAGGGCAUCGACGAGCCCCGAGCAUCGCCGCGACAACAGCAAGGGGCGGGCCUUGGACCGGGAGCCGCCCAGUCCCGAGAGGCUGCGGUAUCCACGGGAUCGCAGCCGGGGGAGGAGCACGGACCGGGAGAGAGGAGGGGGAGGAGGGAGUCCAGGUGGGAGGAGCUACGGCCGGGGCAACAGUUACGAGCGUGGAGGGGGGAGGUACGGGGAUGUGGGAGGUACUGGAGGGAGGAUGGUGAAGAGUAAGAGUAGAGACCAACUCCAGGAGCCUUCCUCCCCGGACCUCCCAAGAGGAGGAGGAGGCGGAGGAGGAGCUAGAGACCUGGAGCCCCUGGAGAAACCUGUUAACGUCCUGCUGGUCAAGAACAGACCCAACGAAGAGUACGGUCUGCGCCUGGGCAGUCAGAUCUUCAUCAAGGAAAUGACCAGUACAGGACUGGCUACCAAGGACGGAAACUUACAGGAGGGAGACAUCAUUCUCAAGAUCAAUGGGACAGUAACAGAGAACCUGUCUCUGAACGAUGCAGGGAAGCUCAUUGAGAAGUCUAGAGGAAAACUCCAGCUGGUCAUCCAGAGAGACCGGAGACAGAUCCUCAUCCGUAUCCCGCCCCUCGUCGACUCUGACUCCGAACCUGACGAUAUUUCAGAGAUGGAGUCCUACCAUUCCUACUCUCCCCAGGAGGACAGGAGAUCUCGCCACUCUGACCUCUCCUCCCAUUCCUCUAAUGAGAGAGACUACCCCAGACCUCUAACCAGCCUGGAAGACUCUCCAAGGGUAGCCAAGAUGUCUGCCAUGGCCUCACCUUUCAGGGUUCCCCCGCUACAGGACCCCCCCUCCCCGGGCCCUGCCACCCUUGAAUCAGAGGGUCUGCCACGCCUCGACGAACCACCAGCGUCAGCAAAGACCACUCCUAAGAUUCUGCUACGCCCCAGCCCAGAGGAGGAAGAGCUCUACGGGGCUAACACGGUGAUGGUGAGUUUCCAGAAGGGGGACAGUGUGGGUCUGAGGCUGGCGGGGGGCAACGAUGUGGGCAUCUUCAUCGCUGGCAUCCAGGAGGGCAGUCCUGCCGAGGAGGAGGGCCUACGCACUGGAGACCAGAUCAUAAAGGUGAAUAAGGUAGAGUUCCGAGGCAUCGUGAGAGAGGAGGCUGUUCUCUGUCUGCUGGAGAUUCCUAAAGGAGAGGACGUCACCAUACUGGCCCAGAGUAAACCUGAUGUCUACAAUGAAAUCCUGGUGUCGGGUCGUGGGGACUCCUUCUUUAUCAGGACUCAUUUUGAGUAUGAGCGGGAGGCCCCCCAGAGCCUGGCUUUCUCCAGAGGGGAGAUCUUUAAGGUGGUGGACACCCUCUACGACGGCAAGCUGGGCAACUGGCUGGCCAUCCGCACCGGCAAGGACAAACAGCUGCUAGAGAAGGGCAUCAUCCCCAACAAGAGCAGGGCUGACCAGAUGGCGAGCGUUCAGAACUCCCAUAAGGCCGCUGGGACGGACCGGGCUGACUUCUGGCGUCUGAGGGGUCAAAGGGCAGCCAAGAGAAAGGAGCUGAGGAAGAGCAGAGAGGACGUCAGCGCUACGCCCGUCGCCACACGCUUCCCCGCGUACGAGAGAGUCGUGCUCCGAGAGGCUGGUUUCAGACGUCCUGUGGUUCUGUUUGGACCUAUAGCUGAUGCAGCCAACGACAAGCUUGCUAACGAGCUGCCUGACCUGUUCAUCAUUGCCAAAACGGAGCCUAAAGAUGCCGGUUCAGAGAAAUCCUCAGGAGUAGUGAGACUCAACACCAUACGCCUGAUCAUAGAGCAGGACAAGCAUGCCCUGCUGGAUGUGACUCCCAAGGCGGUGGACACACUGAACUACAGCCAGUGGUACCCCAUCGUCAUCUUCUUCAACCCAGACAGUAAACCAGGAGUUAAGGCCAUGAGGCAGAGGGUGAUACCUGGAUCCAACCGCUCGGCACGCAAACUAUACGAACAAGCUGUCAAACUGAGGAAGACCUGUUCUCACCUCUUCUCUGCUACUAUUGAGUUGAACUCGGUCAACGAUGCGUGGUACGGCAGUGUCAAGGACUCUAUCAGAGAGCAGCAGACUCAGGCUGUCUGGGUGUCUGAGGGGAAGCUGGACGGCACGGGGACGGACCUUGAUCUCCAUGACGACCGCAUGUCCUACCUGUCAGCCAUGUCGGCCGACUACCUGAGCAUGGACAGCCGACUGGCCAGUGACUACGAUGACACGGCGGACGAGGGCGGGGCUUAUACGGAUAACGAGCUGGACAAUGAACCGGCCGAUCAACUGCCGGUGUCGGCUAUCAGCCGCUCCUCUGAGCCCGUACUGGCAGAGGAGAUACUGCGCAGGUGCAGUCCAGAUAUCCGUGGUGGCAUCAGGAGGGUGGGCAGCAGGGAGGUGCUCAGCAGUGCCAGCCCAACGCACGUGUUUGUACCUGACCCCCCCAAGGUAAAGCUGUUGUUCAGGGAUGAGGUAGUCCCUCCCAGGGGGGUAGUAGGGGCGUACGACCCCCCCCCCAGCCGUGGCUACGACUCCCACUCCUCCAGCCCUGCCAGCAACGACCCCCUCCUCUCCCUCGCUCCCUCAACUCCUUCGGCAAGGCCAAACCCCUGGCGCUGCAGCCCCCCGUCACCCUCAAACCCUCCUAUAAUAUCCAGGACACCACCAGCAGCACAGCCCCAGUCACAGUGGCCCCUAUGGGCCCGGGGGAACCAGAGGAGAACCCUGAGGACCCCAGCCUCAGGUCAUUCCUGGGGAAGGUCAAGGCCUUCGAGAAGAUGGACCACUUUGCACGCGCUCAGAGGAUGCUGGAGCUGCAGGAGGCACAGAACGCCAGGUUGGAGAUAGCUCAGAAGCACCCAGAUAUCUAUGCUGUCCCCCUGAAGACCCAGAAACUGGACCACAGCCGGCCUCAGCCUAUAGGGUAGGAGCACAACAUGGGAGUGUUUUUAGCCUUUCCAGCUCGCAUCCUGAGCCCCAGACCCCUCCCUCCAAGCUACCGUACUCUGAGAGUCGUGGGUUCUACCUCAGCGAUGAGGAGGAAGGGUACCGACGCCAACUGGCUGAACACACCAAGAGAGGCUACUACCAGGUCAAC